GUCUAUUCUGGAAUCUUUAUGAGAGUUCCCUUUUAUUCAUAUUUCCUCUUUCAUUUGGAGGACUAACAAGUGAACACAUGGAUAAGUGAAGAGCAGCCACCCUGCACAAGAUCCUAAAGGCUCUCUCCCCUUCACCUCUUGAGCAGCUUCAGAAAACUCACCUCUACACAAGCUUUCCCAAGGGAAUUAGAAAACAGACAGGCCUCUCACAAGCCUGGUAGAAGAGAAAGAGCCCAGGAUUCAAAGGUAAAAUCAAGAUGCUCCAACGUUGGCAACAAACCCUGAACUCCCGUACUCCAAGUUAAGCAGGGCAUGUUUUACCCUGUGCUAAACCCUGGUUCCAUCAGAAGCCCCACUAAAAUGAGAGUGAAAGAAUGUAAAAAUUACAAACCUUCAAAUGUAAAGAAAACAAGGAGACAUUUUUUUGUGAGAACAAAAAAAUCUCAGGAGUCAGAAAGUAGUUGGAGGAAUUAA